rnacentral:rRNA from 1 species
UACAGGGGGUGCAAACGUUGCUCGGAAUCAUUGGGCGUAAAGCGCACGUAGGCGGUUCGUUAUGUCGGAUGUGAAAGCCCUUGGCUUAACCGAGGAAGUGCAUCCGAAACUGGCGAGCUAGAGUACGAAAGAGGAUCGCGGAAUUCCCGGUGUAGAGGUGAAAUUCGUAGAUAUCGGGAGGAACACCGGUGGCGAAGGCGGCGAUCUGGGUCGAUACUGACGCUGAGGUGCGAAAGCGUGGGAGCAACAGG